GAUGAACGCUGGCGGCGUGCCUAAUACAUGCGAGUCGAGCGAACGGACGAGAAGCUUGCUUCUCUGAUGUUAGCGGCGGACGGGUGAGUAACACGUGGAUAACCUACCUAUAAGACUGGGAUAACUUCGGGAAACCGUAGCUAAUACCGGAUAAUAUUUUGAACCGCAUGGUUCAAAAGUGAAAGACGGUCUUGCUGUCACUUAUAGAUGGAUCCGCGCUGCAUUAGCUAGUUGGUAAGGUAACGGCUUACCAAGGCAACGAUGCAUAGCCGACCUGAGAGGGUGAUCGGCCACACUGGAACUGAGACACGGUCCAGACUCCUACGGGAGGCAGCAGUAGGGAAUCUUCCGCAAUGGGCGAAAGCCUGACGGUGCAACGCCGCGUGAGUGAUGAAGGUCUUCGGAUCGUAAAACUCUGUUAUUAGGGAAGAACAUAUGUGUAAGUAACUGUGCACAUCUUGACGGUACCUAAUCAGAAAGCCACGGCUAACUACGUG
rnacentral:rRNA from 1 species